UACGUAGGGUGCGAGCGUUGUCCGGAAUUAUUGGGCGUAAAGGGCUCGUAGGCGGUUUGUCGCGUCGGGAGUGAAAACACCGGGCUUAACUCGGUGCUUGCUUUCGAUACGGGCAGACUAGAGGUAUUCAGGGGAGAACGGAAUUCCUGGUGUAGCGGUGAAAUGCGCAGAUAUCAGGAGGAACACCGGUGGCGAAGGCGGUUCUCUGGGCAGUAACUGACGCUGAGGAGCGAAAGCGUGGGGAGCGAACAGG
rnacentral:rRNA from 1 species